AUUGAACGCUGGCGGCAGGCCUAACACAUGCAAGUCGAGCGGAUGAAGGGAGCUUGCUCCUGGAUUCAGCGGCGGACGGGUGAGUAAUGCCUAGGAAUCUGCCUGGUAGUGGGGGAUAACGUCCGGAAACGGGCGCUAAAACCGCAUACGUCCUGAGGGAGAAAGUGGGGGAUCUUCGGACCUCACGCUAUCAGAUGAGCCUAGGUCGGAUUAGCUAGUUGGUGGGGUAAAGGCCUACCAAGGCGACGAUCCGUAACUGGUCUGAGAGGAUGAUCAGUCACACUGGAACUGAGACACGGUCCAGACUCCUACGGGAGGCAGCAGUGGGGAAUAUUGGACAAUGGGCGAAAGCCUGAUCCAGCCAUGCCGCGUGUGUGAAGAAGGUCUUCGGAUUGUAAAGCACUUUAAGUUGGGAGGAAGGGCAGUAAGUUAAUACCUUGCUGUUUUGACGUUACCAACAGAAUAAGCACCGGCUAACUUCGUGC
rnacentral:rRNA from 1 species